rnacentral:rRNA from 1 species
UAACACGUGGGCAACCUGCCUGUAAGUUGGGGAUAACUCCGGGAAACCGGGGCUAAUACCGAAUGAUAAAGUGUGGCGCAUGCCACGCUUUUGAAAGAUGGUUUCGGCUAUCGCUUACAGAUGGGCCCGCGGUGCAUUAGCUAGUUGGUAGGGUAAUGGCCUAUCAAGGCAACGACGCAUAGCCGACCUGAGAGGGUGAUCGGCCACACUGGGACUGAGACACGGCCCAGACUCCUACGGGAGGCAGCAGUAGGGAAUCUUCCGCAAUGGACGAAAGUCUGACGGAGCAACGCCGCGUGUAUGAAGAAGGUUUUCGGAUCGUAAAGUACUGUUGUUAGAGAAGAACAAGGAUAAGAGUAACUGCUUGUCCCUUGACGGUAUCUAACCAGAAAGCCACGGCUAACUACGUGCCAGCAGCCGCGGUAAUACGUAGGUGGCAAGCGUUGUCCGGAUUUAUUGGGCGUAAAGCGCGCGCAGGCGGUCUUUUAAGUCUGAUGUGAAAGCCCCCGGCUUGACCGGGGAGGGUCAUUGGAAACUGGAAGACUGGAGUGCAGAAGAGGAGAGUGGAAUUCCACGUGUAGCGGUGAAAUGCGUAGAUAUGUGGAGGAACACCAGUGGCGAAGGCGACUCUCUGGUCUGUAACUGACGCUGAGGCGCGAAAGCGUGGGGAGCAAACAGGANUAGAUACCCUGGUAGUCCACGCCGUAAACGAUGAGUGCUAAGUGUUAGGGGGUUUCCGCCCCUUAGUGCUGCAGCUAACGCAUUAAGCACUCCGCCUGGGGAGUACGACCG